rnacentral:rRNA from 1 species
CCUACGGGAGGCAGCAGUGGGGAAUAUUGCACAAUGGGGGAAACCCUGAUGCAGCGACGCCGCGUGAGUGAAGAAGUAAUUCGUUACGUAAAGCUCUAUCAGCAGGGAAGAAACACUGACCUUACGGUCAGCAGACGGUACCUGAGUAAGAAGACCCGGCUAACUACGUGCCAGCAGCCGCGGUAAUACGUAGGGGGCAAGCGUUAUCCGGAUUUACUGGGUGUAAAGGGAGAGUAGACGGUGCGACAAGUCUGGGGUGAAAUGCCGCAGCUUAACUGCGGAACUGCUUUGGUAACUGGCGAACUAGAGUGCGGGAGGGGUGAGCGGAAUUCCUAGUGUAGCGGUGAAAGGCGUAGAUAUUAGGAGGAACACCGGUGGCGAAGGCGGCUUACUGGACCGUAACUGACGUUGAGGCUCGAAAGCGUGGGGAGCAAACAGGAUUAGAUACCCCUGUAGUC